GAUGAAGAACGUAGCGAAAUGCGAUAAGUAAUGUGAAUUGCAGAAUUCAGUGAAUCAUCGAAUCUUUGAACGCACAUUGCGCCCGCUGGUAUUCCGGCGGGCAUGCCUGUUCGAGCGUCAUUUCAACCCUCAAGCUCUCCGGAGUUUGGUGUUGGGGCGCCUGGGGCUUUUAGACCUCAGGGCCCUCAAGUCCAUCGGCGGGACCGCCAGGACACUGAGCGCAGUAGUAUUAUUUCGCUCGGUAGGAUCUUCCACGGCGGGUCGAUCUGGCCGCUAAACCCCCCAAUUCUCACCAAAGGUUGACCUCGGAUCAGGUAGGAAUACCCGCUGAACUUAAGCAUAUCAAUAAGCGGAGGA
rnacentral:misc_RNA from 1 species